rnacentral:rRNA from 1 species
GAUGAACGCUGGCGGCGUGCUUAACACAUGCAAGUCGAACGAAGCACUUAAACCUGAUUCUUCGGAUGAAGGUUUUUGUGACUGAGUGGCGGACGGGUGAGUAACGCGUGGGUAACCUGCCUCAUACAGGGGGAUAACAGUUUGAAAUGACUGCUAAUACCGCAUAAGACCACAGAGCCGCAUGGCUCAGUGGGAAAAACUCCGGUGGUAUGAGAUGGACCCGCGGCGGAUUAGGUAGUGGGUGGGGUAACGGCCUACCAAGCCAACGAUCAGUAGCCGACCUGAGAGGGUGACCGGCCACAUUGGGACUGAGACACGGCCCAAACUCCUACGGGAGGCAGCAGUGGGGAAUAUUGCACAAUGGGGGAAACCCUGAUGCAGCGACGCCGCGUGAGCGAAGAAGUAUUUCGGUAUGUAAAGCUCUAUCAGCAGGGAAGAAAAUGACGGUACCUGACUAAGAAGCACCGGCUAAAUACGUGCCAGCAGCCGCCGUAAUAC